ACGUAGGGGGCAAGCGUUGUCCGGAAUGAUUGGGCGUAAAGGGCGCGUAGGCGGCCUGGUAAGUCUGGAGUGAAAGUCCUGCUUUUAAGGUGGGAAUUGCUUUGGAUACUGUCGGGCUUGAGUGCAGGAGAGGUAAGUGGAAUUCCCGGUCUAGCGGUGAAAUGCGUAGAGAUCGAGAGGAACGCCAGAGGCGAAGGCGACUUACGGGACUGUAACUAACGCUGAGGCGCGAAAGUGUAGAGAGCAAACAG
rnacentral:rRNA from 1 species